GAGCCUCUAUUAUCAUGAAUGAUGCUCCUACUCAAGAGUUCCAUGUGGAGCGUGGCUUAGCACAUGAUGAUCCACUUUGGACCUUUUAAUUUGUUCUUACAAUGGAGGGUUUCCACGUUGGGUUAGUGGAAGCUAGUUCGGUAGGGCCGGCCUUAUGCUUUAGUGAGUAAAGGUAGGGCUUAGGGCCCCAAUUGUAAGGGAUCCCAUUUAAUUUCAAGUCCAGCUCAUAAGUAUCCAAAAAAUCACGCCUGUUGAUCGAUUCUUCAAGCGAUGAGUACGACACUACGACGAUUGAAAUUCCUUUCUUUUUCUCCAUUCUCAGACUCAAUUCUAGGCCUUCUCCAUUCGAUUCUUCUACUCUUCUGUUGAACCGUUGAAUCGUUGCUGCUGUUCUUCACUCUUCAAACUUUAGUUCUUAUUCCUUCUUCAUUCUUGGUUUCUCCAUCGCUCAAAAGUUAAAAAUCAUUGUUCAUUGUCCAUUGAUUUGAUGAUUUGCUACUAUUUUGCUGUCAUUCAGUCAUUGAAACGGUAACAGAUUGGCAAAUUUCAUUGUUCACUGAUUCCAGAUUGGCUGAUUCCAAAUUGGCAGAUUCCAUUGUUUUUGAGUUUUCCAUUAUCUCAGGGGCGCUUCUGGUUGUAUAAAGCACAAUGGUUCCCUACGCCACAAAUAAACCAACUUUCGCCUGGAGACAUUAAGGAUACGAUGUCAUGUCCAGAGGUGUGAGCUUUGCUUGGGGGCGGAAUAAUGCAGUUUGCAUACGAACUACCAUUAACUAUGAAGACAUUAUGUAUGCCUUUCGGAUAAUUAAACACUGUAAUAUCAAGUAAAAUCAUAUGUAGCAUUAAAAAUAAUUCAAAAAUAAAAAACUACAUUUAAAAAUGUUUUAUA